GGCCAGAAACGCAUAACAAGACAACAUUUACAGACGUGAUAAAGAUGUUUACUCAAGUCGUGAAACUAUUCGAGCUGACGUUGGGUGUACUAUUCUGAUACGCCGGUUGGAACAACGAGAGGUUUUAUUGUCUCACAGCACGGCUGAGGAACGACUGGCUGGGUCACUCAGCCGUGCUGCAGUUGAUGUUCCAGGAAAAGUGUCAACGAAACGCAGGAAAGAGAUAAAAGUCUGAUUAAAACAUUAAACAGAGCUGAACAUUUGAUCUGUCAGGAGACGCCAAAAGUUCACUUGGUUUCAUAACAUUUGUCCAGUUUCAGGUUUAUACGUCUUUUAAGAGUUUGCCUUUUUUUUUAUUGCUUUACAUUAACAGAUACCAACUACAGGAGAAAAUGAAUAGAAAUGGGAAAUGGAAGCUGAUAUCAAACUGAAAAAUCUGAUAUUUUUUCCUCAUCAAUGAACGAAUCAUACUGACCGGCUGACCACAACGCUCCUUACUGUUGCGGCUAAUGGUUUUAUGGCUAAAUAAACUCUGUUGUGGAACACCUAGAAAUAAAGGAAUAACCACAUGUGACGUCUGCUGUCCAAUCAGCUCACAGAGCUGCUUUUAGACGUAUGGAAGAUGAAGGAAUGAGGCUUUUGUUCUAAGUAUUGCUUCUUUUCAUCAGUAGAUACAGGUUAGCCACAUUUAAAGUAGGUAAAAUAUUAUUUACACUGUUUCUAAAAUAAAGCAGGUUUUUUUUUUUACAAUUGAAAUAUGUCUAUUAUUAAUAUUCUGAUUCAUGACUAUGAACAAUAAAAUAGACAAAACAGAGAAGCAGUUUUCUUUCACCCAGCGGUGUAAGCCGUACACCACCAUGGGGAACUCCAGGAUUUUUACCCUGGCAUCUGAUGAAGGGAUUUUAAAUGGUAGGAACGGUAUGUGCUGGAAGGCCUCACAGCUUCAUCUUCACCUAUGGCUAUUUCUGACUUAGCUUUAUAAAUCCUGCUUGAAACUGUGUGAGAAGCUCCCAUUUCUUAACCCUGACGCCAGAUGAGAAAAGCCAGUCAGAAUGAUCAGCAGGAGGAUGUAUACAUUAGCCUGGUGAUAAACCUGUAAGAAGGCAUAGCAGUGUUUCUGAUUGAUCCUCCUGACCUCCUAGCAACAAAAUCGCUAAGACGGCAACAGGAGUUACUGUUAGCCACCCGGUGGGCAGGUCUUGUCAUGGUAAAGCAGAAGGGGACAUGAGCUGCGUUCUCAAAACAACAACAUCAUCAUUUAUCGCAGAGACAAUUUAUCUUCCAGCAAAGUUUGUCGUCAUGACAGGCCUCCUACUUGUGAUUAACAUAUUUCAGGCACACUCACUUAAAAAAAAAGAAUUUACGACAUUUAAGACUAUAAUUUUAGGUGCAUAAAUUUUAGGUCUUUUUAAGGAUGUUGUCGGCCUGCCAGUUAAUCAGUGCACACCCACCAUGAGACAUGACAAUCUGGCACGAAACUAUUUGAAAAAGACAAAAGACACUCUGAGUGGAAUGGCAAAACAUAACAUGCUAUACAGGUUAGAGGUGUAAAUAUGUGGUUAGCAAACUAAAAUACAUGAAAAAUAAGGGGCAAAAUAAGAAUAAGGUUUUGAUAGAGGUUUUUAGGAAACAUGCAGCACUAAAACAAAUCUUGUUCUGCAUUUAACUUCAAAAUUUAGCAAAACAACAUUCUAAAA